rnacentral:rRNA from 1 species
AGUGAACGCUGGCGGUAGGCCUAACACAUGCAAGUCGAACGGCAGCACAGUAAGAGCUUGCUCUUACGGGUGGCGAGUGGCGGACGGGUGAGGAAUACAUCGGAAUCUACUUUUUCGUGGGGGAUAACGUAGGGAAACUUACGCUAAUACCGCAUACGACCUACGGGUGAAAGCAGGAGAUCUUCGGACCUUGCGCGAUUGAAUGAGCCGAUGUCGGAUUAGCUAGUUGGCGGGGUAAAGGCCCACCAAGGCGACGAUCCGUAGCUGGUCUGAGAGGAUGAUCAGCCACACUGGAACUGAGACACGGUCCAGACUCCUACGGGAGGCAGCAGUGGGGAAUAUUGGACAAUGGGCGCAAGCCUGAUCCAGCUAUACCGCGUGGGUGAAGAAGGCCUUCGGGUUGUAAAGCCCUUUUGUUGGGAAAGAAAAGCAGCAGGUUAAUACCCCGCUGUUCUGACGGUACCCAAAGAAUAGGCACCGGCUAACUUCGUG